rnacentral:rRNA from 1 species
CCCUUAGAUGUUCUGGGCAGCACGCGCGCUACAAUGGUCUUCGCAAACGGAUGCAUUCUCGAAGGAGAAUGCCAAUCUUGGAAUCUAUGCCUUGGUCGGGACAGUUGCUUGCAAUUUUUCGACUCGAACCAGGAAUUCCUUGUAAUCGUGAUUCAUCACAUCACGAUGAAUACGUCCCUGCCCUUUGUACACACCGCCCGUCGCUGCCCGGAACUGAGCCGUUUCGAGAAGACUGAGGAUUGCUGACUUGAGGCCUUCACGGGCUUCUAGUCGGUGAAAAGCAAUUUAAUCGCAGCGGCUUGAACCGGGCAAAAGUCGUAACA